GUUUUGUUUGCUCACAGGAAGUGGGUACUGAGCAUCCAAUCAGACGCGCGAGAUUUCUGAGCACAGUUUAUCGCGAGACGUGGCCUCUUCCUUUUCCCUUUUCGCUCUGAGUCCAAGAUGGGAGUUGACAUCAGGCACAACAAGGACCGUAAGGUGCACAGGAAAGAACCAAAGAGCCAGGAUAUCUAUCUGAGGCUCCUGGUCAAGUUGUUCAGGUUCCUG